rnacentral:rRNA from 1 species
UACGAAGGGUGCAAGCGUUACUCGGAAUCACUGGGCGUAAAGCGUGCGUAGGCGGUUCGUUAAGUCUGCUGUGAAAGCCCUGGGCUCAACCUGGGAACUGCAGUGGAUACUGGCGGACUAGAGUGUGAUAGAGGAUGGUGGAAUUCCCGGUGUAGCGGUGAAAUGCGUAGAGAUCGGGAGGAACACCAGUGGCGAAGGCGGCCAUCUGGAUCAACACUGACGCUGAGCACGAAAGCGUGGGGAGCAAACAGG